GGGGAUCCUUGUUAAAAAGUGGCAAAUAAUUUGGCUGAAUUGUGUUUGUGUUCUAGUGUUUUCUGGCAGGGAGAAUUUGCAAGUGAUGACACUGGAUAUUUAGCUGAAGAGAUUUCUAAGCAAAGUUUGGAGUAGCUUGGUUCCUCCUGACUGCUUAUAGCAAAAUGUGAGAAGAGAGAAAUGAUCAGAAGACAGAAUUAGUAAGCAAAAAGGAAGUAGAAAUUAAACAUUUGAAAAAAAUCUCAGCCUAUCCAUAUUGCAAAGACAAAAAUAAAAAGGGAAAAGCACUUUCUGAAGAGAAUACAAAGGAUGUGGCCAAGUGAUUUUUGGGUAAGGAGAUUAGCCUCGGUGUGAAUCACUGACUUAAUCAGCCACCCCAGCAGGAAAACUUCCAAUUUAAACUGAAGAGGAAGAAGAUGGGAAGAACUGAAGAAGGGCUACCAGAAUUUUUCGAUUUUAUAGAAGACUAUAAAGCUAUUUGGCAGUGAAUGUGUGCUUAUUUCCAAGACAAGGGAAGAAUGACGCUAAAGGUGAUUCAGAGAUCAUCAGGGCUGCCUCUUGAAUUUUAAAAGAAGGAGCUUCAACUUGCUUCCACCGACCAGGCAGCCUCCACCCAAAGGCAUGGGGAUAGAGCCACCCAGCUGACCCCUGAAGAGCUACAGGUCCUCAUCGCAUGACCAUUCGUGGAUGAGCUGGUUGGUAAAACUGCCCACACGAUUUAAAUGGCUCUUCAUUUUACAGGUGAGAAAACUGGAAUCUGGGAACCAGCCCCCAGAUGUACAGGACCUCAGUUCACUGUUCUUUGCAUUAGACUGCAAUGAUUCCCAUAUUCACAAAUUGUAGAAAAAAACUUUCCCCAAACAGACUGGUGCACCUACUGAUUUCAGCUGGAAGAUGGCACCCUGAUUUUCUGGAGCUGAAGCUUAGCACAAAUUUUGUCAUUCAAACACACUGGUCGAAUCAAUUAAAA
rnacentral:lncRNA from 10 species